CUUAGUGGUUCGGUGUUGUAGGACGUGCGUGGCCACUGUGAGCUUCGGUUCUAGAAGACUAAGUGGAUUUUGUUUGACAAAAUGUAAUCUUUCUGCAUUUGUGAAAUUCCAGCGAUCUACAUUUUUACCAAGCACAAGGCGCGACACUUCUGCAAAUCCUGCAUGGUUCAAAUAAAUCUGCCAACAUCGCACAGCAGCCAGAGUUAAACUCAAAAACAAAAAAAAAAAAAAAAAACAAAAAAAAUUAUCCUCAAAAUUUUAAUUGCUACAAAGUCGAAAUAACAGUUAAGCGCAUGUUAUUUCUUGUUUUUUGAACUUCGGUCCUCAUGACGUUUUAAAUACCUUUUAUUUAUUCUUCCUCUCAAAAAGUAUUUAAAUUUGUCUAAAGCAUCGAGAGUUUGCGCUUACAAACAAUCUAUGAAAGUUAAAAAACUGCUGACAAUCCUCGAAAUUCUUUACUGCCACGAAGUGUGUGCAUGAUUCUGAUUUAUUUUGCCAACAUUUUACAUUUACUGAAUCUUCUCAAUUACAAAAUAUUUUUCUCUGCAUCUUGCUUUCGAGCACGUUUCGGAUGAUUUAUCGAUAAUUUCUGCGUUAAUUGGCGACAAUUAAUAUAUCCUUGCCGAAGAACGAAACAACCAUUUAGCAAAAAUUGGGCUUCCAGUUCAACUGCCAAUGGUUUAAGUACUUACGGAUGAAUUGCCGGUAAUUGAUGAAAACUACAUCAAUAAAUUGUAUAGUUCAUUAACAACUCCUUAGUUAACGUUUAUAUUCCUACACAUUUUAAAAGUUUUAUAAGCAAACUACUUGAAAAACUCAGAAAAUACAAAAAG